CCCUAAUCCGAUGCUUUGUCGGUUGCUGUUGUUUAUUUUUUUUGGUAAAUAAAAUGUUAUACAUUUGUUGUGCAUCAUUAUACAACCUUAACCAUGAAUUUAGUUAGCAGGAAAAUGGUUAUUGAGGAUCUUAACGAUAGAUUUCUGGUAAAGGGGACGUAUGGAAGUAGGCAAAUUGGGGAAGCCGUAUUUGCUGGCGUAUGUGGAGGAAUAAUGCGCGGUUUCCCCCUACCGUGCCUGCGUAGACCGGACAAGACGCGCCAGCGUCGCAUCCGGCAUUUUUUUUGCACCAACGCAAAAAGGCCAUCCUUACGGAUGGCCUUCUGCUUUAUCUGAGCUCGAUGAGUAGGGCGGGACACGUGGUAUCCUGUCUGAAUAUGGGGGGACCAUCCUCCAAGGCUAAAUACUCCUGACUGACCGAUAGUGAACCAGUACCGUGAGGGAAAGGCGAAAAGAACCCCGGCGAGGGGAGUGAAAAAGAACCUGAAACCGUGUACGUACAAGCAGUGGGAGCCUUGAUUUAUCAGGGUGACUGCGUACCUUUUGUAUAAUGGGUCAGCGACUUAUAUUCUGUAGCAAGGUUAACCGAAUAGGGGAGCCGAAGGGAAACCGAGUCUUAACUGGGCGUUAAGUUGCAGGGUAUAGACCCGAAACCCGGUGAUCUAGCCAUGGGCAGGUUGAAGGUUGGGUAACACUAACUGGAGGACCGAACCGACUAAUGUUGAAAAAUUAGCGGAUGACUUGUGGCUGGGGGUGAAAGGCCAAUCAAACCGGGAGAUAGCUGGUUCUCCCCGAAAGCUAUUUAGGUAGCGCCUCGUGAAUUCAUCUCCGGGGGUAGAGCACUGUUUCGGCAAGGGGGUCAUCCCGACUUACCAACCCGAUGCAAACUGCGAAUACCGGAGAAUGUUAUCACGGGAGACACACGGCGGGUGCUAACGUCCGUCGUGAAGAGGGAAACAACCCAGACCGCCAGCUAAGGUCCCAAAGUCAUGGUUAAGUGGGAAACGAUGUGGGAAGGCCCAGACAGCCAGGAUGUUGGCUUAGAAGCAGCCAUCAUUUAAAGAAAGCGUAAUAGCUCACUGGUCGAGUCGGCCUGCGCGGAAGAUGUAACGGGGCUAAACCAUGCACCGAAGCUGCGGCAGCGACACUAUGUGUUGUUGGGUAGGGGAGCGUUCUGUAAGCCUGUGAAGGUGUGCUGUGAGGCAUGCUGGAGGUAUCAGAAGUGCGAAUGCUGACAUAAGUAACGAUAAAGCGGGUGAAAAGCCCGCUCGCCGGAAGACCAAGGGUUCCUGUCCAACGUUAAUCGGGGCAGGGUGAGUCGACCCCUAAGGCGAGGCCGAAAGGCGUAGUCGAUGGGAAACAGGUUAAUAUUCCUGUACUUGGUGUUACUGCGAAGGGGGGACGGAGAAGGCUAUGUUGGCCGGGCGACGGUUGUCCCGGUUUAAGCGUGUAGGCUGGUUUUCCAGGCAAAUCCGGAAAAUCAAGGCUGAGGCGUGAUGACGAGGCACUACGGUGCUGAAGCAACAAAUGCCCUGCUUCCAGGAAAAGCCUCUAAGCAUCAGGUAACAUCAAAUCGUACCCCAAACCGACACAGGUGGUCAGGUAGAGAAUACCAAGGCGCUUGAGAGAACUCGGGUGAAGGAACUAGGCAAAAUGGUGCCGUAACUUCGGGAGAAGGCACGCUGAUAUGUAGGUGAAGCGACUUGCUCGUGGAGCUGAAAUCAGUCGAAGAUACCAGCUGGCUGCAACUGUUUAUUAAAAACACAGCACUGUGCAAACACGAAAGUGGACGUAUACGGUGUGACGCCUGCCCGGUGCCGGAAGGUUAAUUGAUGGGGUCAGCCGCAAGGCGAAGCUCUUGAUCGAAGCCCCGGUAAACGGCGGCCGUAACUAUAACGGUCCUAAGGUAGCGAAAUUCCUUGUCGGGUAAGUUCCGACCUGCACGAAUGGCGUAAUGAUGGCCAGGCUGUCUCCACCCGAGACUCAGUGAAAUUGAACUCGCUGUGAAGAUGCAGUGUACCCGCGGCAAGACGGAAAGACCCCGUGAACCUUUACUAUAGCUUGACACUGAACAUUGAGCCUUGAUGUGUAGGAUAGGUGGGAGGCUUUGAAGCGUGGACGCCAGUCUGCGUGGAGCCGACCUUGAAAUACCACCCUUUAAUGUUUGAUGUUCUAACGUGGACCCGUUAUCCGGGUUGCGGACAGUGUCUGGUGGGUAGUUUGACUGGGGCGGUCUCCUCCUAAAGAGUAACGGAGGAGCACGAAGGUUGGCUAAUCCUGGUCGGACAUCAGGAGGUUAGUGCAAUGGCAUAAGCCAGCUUGACUGCGAGCGUGACGGCGCGAGCAGGUGCGAAAGCAGGUCAUAGUGAUCCGGUGGUUCUGAAUGGAAGGGCCAUCGCUCAACGGAUAAAAGGUACUCCGGGGAUAACAGGCUGAUACCGCCCAAGAGUUCAUAUCGACGGCGGUGUUUGGCACCUCGAUGUCGGCUCAUCACAUCCUGGGGCUGAAGUAGGUCCCAAGGGUAUGGCUGUUCGCCAUUUAAAGUGGUACGCGAGCUGGGUUUAGAACGUCGUGAGACAGUUCGGUCCCUAUCUGCCGUGGGCGCUGGAGAACUGAGGGGGGCUGCUCCUAGUACGAGAGGACCGGAGUGGACGCAUCACUGGUGUUCGGGUUGUCAUGCCAAUGGCACUGCCCGGUAGCUAAAUGCGGAAGAGAUAAGUGCUGAAAGCAUCUAAGCACGAAACUUGCCCCGAGAUGAGUUCUCCCUGACUCCUUGA
rnacentral:rRNA from 1 species